rnacentral:tRNA from 1 species
CGUCAGAAGUGGGAUUCGAACCCACUCAAUCAAGAGCGGACUGUGACAUGAACGCAACGCCUUAGACAGCUCGGCCGUUCUGAC